AGCACAUAAUUGGACAUGCCAGGUAUUGUGGGGAGGACGGUGGCAAAAAGGUUCUGCAUAUUCCACAGGAGAGGAAGUUGAGCAGAUUAAUAGUUACCUUUCGAGACUGGCCAACACUACAAAGUACAUGUUACCCGAGUCAAGAGAAGAACUCAUAACUGAACAUGCUCUUGCGUGGAAUAAACGGAAAAUAUGUGAUCUGUCCAGCU